rnacentral:rRNA from 1 species
ACUGAACGCUGGCGGCAUGCCUUACACAUGCAAGUCGAACGGCAGCACGGAGCUUGCUCUGGUGGCGAGUGGCGAACGGGUGAGUAAUAUAUCGGAACGUACCCUAGAGUGGGGGAUAACGUAGCGAAAGUUACGCUAAUACCGCAUACGAUCUAAGGAUGAAAGUGGGGGAUCGCAAGACCUCAUGCUCGUGGAGCGGCCGAUAUCUGAUUAGCUAGUUGGUAGGGUAAAAGCCUACCAAGGCAUCGAUCAGUAGCUGGUCUGAGAGGACGACCAGCCACACUGGAACUGAGACACGGUCCAGACUCCUACGGGAGGCAGCAGUGGGGAAUUUUGGACAAUGGGCGAAAGCCUGAUCCAGCAAUGCCGCGUGAGUGAAGAAGGCCUUCGGGUUGUAAAGCUCUUUUGUCAGGGAAGAAACGGUGAAAGCUAAUAUCUUUUGCUAAUGACGGUACCUGAAGAAUAAGCACCGGCUAACUACGUGCCAGCAGCCGCGGUAAUACGUAGGGUGCAAGCGUUAAUCGGAAUUACUGGGCGUAAAGCGUGCGCAGGCGGUUUUGUAAGUCUGAUGUGAAAUCCCCGGGCUCAACCUGGGAAUUGCAUUGGAGACUGCAAGGCUAGAAUCUGGCAGAGGGGGGUAGAAUUCCACGUGUAGCAGUGAAAUGCGUAGAUAUGUGGAGGAACACCGAUGGCGAAGGCAGCCCCCUGGGUCAAGAUUGACGCUCAUGCACGAAAGCGUGGGGAGCAAACAGGAUUAGAUACCCUGGUAGUCCACGCCCUAAACGAUGUCUACUAGUUGUCGGGUCUUAAUUGACUUGGUAACGCAGCUAACGCGUGAAGUAGACCGCCUGGGGAGUACGGUCGCAAGAUUAAAACUCAAAGGAAUUGACGGGGACCCGCACAAGCGGUGGAUGAUGUGGAUUAAUUCGAUGCAACGCGAAAAACCUUACCUACCCUUGACAUGGCUGGAAUCCUUGAGAGAUCAGGGAGUGCUCGAAAGAGAACCAGUACACAGGUGCUGCAUGGCUGUCGUCAGCUCGUGUCGUGAGAUGUUGGGUUAAGUCCCGCAACGAGCGCAACCCUUGUCAUUAGUUGCUACGAAAGGGCACUCUAAUGAGACUGCCGGUGACAAACCGGAGGAAGGUGGGGAUGACGUCAAGUCCUCAUGGCCCUUAUGGGUAGGGCUUCACACGUCAUACAAUGGUACAUACAGAGCGCCGCCAACCCGCGAGGGGGAGCUAAUCGCAGAAAGUGUAUCGUAGUCCGGAUUGUAGUCUGCAACUCGACUGCAUGAAGUUGGAAUCGCUAGUAAUCGCGGAUCAGCAUGUCGCGGUGAAUACGUUCCCGGGUCU